GGCUACCUGGCGCAAUGGUAGCGCGUUUGGCUUCGAUCGCCUGACGGCUGCUGACUAGUCCAGUCACGUCACCAAACGGUUGCAGGUUCGAGUCCUGCGGUGGUCA